rnacentral:rRNA from 1 species
UACAGAGGGUGCAAGCGUUAAUCGGAAUUACUGGGCGUAAAGGGUGCGUAGGUGGUUUGAUAAGUUGGGUGUGAAAUUCCUGGGCUUAACCUAGGAACUGCGCUCAAUACUGUUGAGCUAGAGUACUGUAGAGGAAGGUGGAAUUUCCAGUGUAGCGGUGAAAUGCGUAGAUAUUGGAAGGAACAUCAGUGGCGAAGGCGACUUUCUGGACAGUUCCUGACACUGAGGCACGAAGGCCAGGGGAGCAAACGGG